UACGGGGGGGGCAAGCGUUGUUCGGAAUUACUGGGCGUAAAGGGCGCGUAGGUGGCCCGGUCAGUCCGUGGUGAAAGCGCGGGGCUCAACCCUGCGUCGGCCAUGGAUACUGCCGCGGCUCGAGCACUGUAGAGGCAGGCGGAAUUCCGGGUGUAGCGGUGGAAUGCGUAGAGAUCCGGAAGAACACCGGUGGCGAAGGCGGCCUGCUGGGCAGUAUGGCUGACACUGAGGCGCGACAGCGUGGGGAGCAAACAGG
rnacentral:rRNA from 1 species